rnacentral:rRNA from 1 species
AUUGAACGCUGGCGGCAUGCUUUACACAUGCAAGUCGAACGGCAGUAUAGGUGCUUGCACCUGAUGGCGAGUGGCGAACGGGUGAGUAAUAUAUCGGAACAUGUCCGGAAGUGGGGGAUAACGUAGCGAAGGUUACGCUAAUACCGCAUAUGCUCUGAGGGGGAAAGGGGGGGAUCGCAAGACCUCCCGCUUUCCGAGUUGCCGAUAUCGGAUUAGCUAGUAGGUGAGGUAACGGCUCACCUAGGCGACGAUCCGUAGCUGGUCUGAGAGGACGACCAGCCACACUGGGACGGAGAUGCGGCCCAGACUCCUACGGGAGGCAGCAGUGGGGAAUUUUGGACAAUGGGCGCAAGCCUGAUCCAGCCAUGCCGCGUGAGUGAAGAAGGCCUUCGGGUUGUAAAGCUCUUUCAGCCGGAAAGAAAUCGUACUUAUUAAUACUAAGUGCGGAUGACGGUACCGGAAGAAGAAGCACCGGCUAACUACGUGCCAGCAGCCGCAGUAA